rnacentral:rRNA from 1 species
GUCCACGCCCUAAACGAUGUCAACUGGGUGUUGGGGAAGCGAUUCCUUGGUACCGUAGCUAACGCGUGAAGUUGACCGCCUGGGGAGUACGGCCGCAAGGUUAAAACUCAAAUGAAUUGACGGGGACCCGCACAAGCGGUGGAUGAUGUGGAUUAAUUCGAUGCAACGCGAACAACCUUACCUACCCUUGACAUGUCCGGAAGCCUGCUGAGAGGUGGGGGUGCCCGAAAGGGAACCGGAACACAGGUGCUGCAUGGCUGUCGU